rnacentral:rRNA from 1 species
GACGAACGCUGGCGGCGUGCUUAACACAUGCAAGUCGAGCGGUAAGGCCCUUCGGGGUACACGAGCGGCGAACGGGUGAGUAACACGUGGGUGAUCUGCCUCGCACUUCGGGAUAAGCCUGGGAAACUGGGUCUAAUACCGGAUAUGACCUGCUGUCGCAUGGCGGUGGGUGGAAAGAUUUAUCGGUGCGAGAUGGGCCCGCGGCCUAUCAGCUUGUUGGUGGGGUAAUGGCCUACCAAGGCGACGACGGGUAGCCGGCCUGAGAGGGCGACCGGCCACACUGGGACUGAGACACGGCCCAGACUCCUACGGGAGGCAGCAGUGGGGAAUAUUGCACAAUGGGCGAAAGCCUGAUGCAGCGACGCCGCGUGAGGGAUGACGGCCUUCGGGUUGUAAACCUCUUUCGACAGGGACGAAGCGUAAGUGACGGUACCUGUAGAAGAAGCACCGGCCAACUACGUGCCAGCAGCCGCGGUAAUACGUAGGGUGCGAGCGUUGUCCGGAAUUACUGGGCGUAAAGAGCUUGUAGGCGGUUUGUCGCGUCGUCCGUGAAAACUUGGGGCUCAACCCCAAGCUUGCGGGCGAUACGGGCAGACUUGAGUACUGCAGGGGAGACUGGAAUUCCUGGUGUAGCGGUGAAAUGCGCAGAUAUCAGGAGGAACACCGGUGGCGAAGGCGGGUCUCUGGGCAGUAACUGACGCUGAGAAGCGAAAGCGUGGGUAGCGAACAGGAUUAGAUACCCUGGUAGUCCACGCCGUAAACGGUGGGUACUAGGUGUGGGUUUCCUUCCACGGGAUCCGUGCCGUAGCUAACGCAUUAAGUACCCCGCCUGGGGAGUACGGCCGCAAGGCUAAAACUCAAAGGAAUUGACGGGGGCCCGCACAAGCGGCGGAGCAUGUGGAUUAAUUCGAUGCAACGCGAAGAACCUUACCUGGGUUUGACAUACACCGGAAACCUGCAGAGAUGUAGGCCCCCUUGUGGUCGGGUGUACAGGUGGUGCAUGGCUGUCGUCAGCUCGUGUCGUGAGAUGUUGGGUUAAGUCCCGCAACGAGCGCAACCCUUAUCUUAUGUUGCCAGCGCGUAAUGGCGGGGACUCGUGAGAGACUGCCGGGGUCAACUCGGAGGAAGGUGGGGACGACGUCAAGUCAUCAUGCCCCUUAUGUCCAGGGCUUCACACAUGCUACAAUGGCCGGUACAGAGGGCUGCGAUACCGUGAGGUGGAGCGAAUCCCUUAAAGCCGGUCUCAGUUCGGAUCGGGGUCUGCAACUCGACCCCGUGAAGUUGGAGUCGCUAGUAAUCGCAGAUCAGCAACGCUGCGGUGAAUACGUUCCCGGGCCUUGUACACACCGCCCGUCACGUCAUGAAAGUCGGUAACACCCGAAGCCGGUGGCCUAACCCCUUGUGGGAUG